rnacentral:rRNA from 1 species
GAUGAACGCUGGCGGCGUGCCUAAUACAUGCCAGUCGAGCGAACGGACGAGAAGCUUGCUUCUCUGAUGUUAGCGGCGGACGGGUGAGUAACACGUGGAUAACCUACCUAUAAGACUGGGAUAACUUCGGGAAACCGGAGCUAAUACCGGAUAAUAUUUUGAACCGCAUGGUUCAAAAGUGAAAGACGGUCUUGCUGUCACUUAUAGAUGGAUCCGCGCUGCAUUAGCUAGUUGGUAAGGUAACGGCUUACCAAGGCAACGAUGCAUAGCCGACCUGAGAGGGUGAUCGGCCACACUGGAACUGAGACACGGUCCAGACUCCUACGGGAGGCAGCAGUAGGGAAUCUUCCGCAAUGGGCGAAAGCCUGACGGAGCAACGCCGAGUGAGUGAUGAAGGUCUUCGGAUCGUAAAACUCUGUUAUUAGGGAAGAACAUAUGUGUAAGUAACUGUGCACAUCUUGACGGUACCUAAUCAGAAAGCCACGGCUAACUACGU